CUGGUGGCGGGCAGGCACACAUUGUGGUCUGUGCCCCAGGCGCGCCCCGCUUGGCGAUGGUUUCGGACCGGCCAUUGUCAAGGAAGCCCCUCUCCAUCCUGAGACAUACCUAUCCAAACACAAGAACACGAGAAGAGCUGAUCAGGAACUAACUUUACACUUGGAGGAAAAAUGGCCAAAGAGCUCAGAGAAGGUGCUCAGGACUCCAGCGCCACCCUUCCACCUCCUUCCCCCAAUCGCCAAAGUAACACGAUCAAGAAGAGGAGAGUCACUUUGGGAUGGCUAGGUGGACUCAACUGCUCACUUGAUGGUGAAGACACAACUGACCCACCGCCGGUUGAGCUGUCUCUUUUGGCCGGCCAGCACCUCAUCUCCUGGCAACCACUAUUUCCUGAGAAGUCAGUCCCCAGAGAGUAGGGGUGGGGGUUCUUUAGGGCAAGGGUUGUUCCUUGGAAACGGCUCUUUCUCUCUCUCUGUAUUUUCUCUUUUCUUUUUCUUUUUCACUUUGUCUGAAAUCUUCUCAGACCUUGAGUUGGCACUCAGCACAUUUCCUCUUGCGGUCCUGGAUAGGAUAUUCUUGAUUGCGACCCUGCAGGGUUCUUCCUGCAGUCCAAAGCAUGGCUGGAGGUCAUGGUCAGUCCGGGAAUCUCCAAAUAUGGCCUGAGAAACAGGCUUUCUCUUCAUCAUUCCUUGCCGGGUCCCAAAUCCACACAUGUCUGACUUGAUCUUUCUGUUGUCUGUGCUUGUGUUUUCUCUGUCUUUUCCACGAUCCUCUCCUCCUAGCCUACAGCGCAUGUGUUAUAUGGCACUGGGUUCACUUUACCUUCAGCUGUGCCUCACCUCCUCUUAAUCCCUUCUGCUCAGGUCAUUGCUUCUGCUCUUUGUAAGUCAUGGUCUGGCCCCGUUCGCCACCUCUGGUCUGAGGAGGAGAUCAAGGCUAUCCCUCUGCCUGCUGGAUCCACCCAGGUCUCAUUUAUUCCUCGACAAAACACAGUCUCACAUCAAGACUUUCUCUUUCCUCCAGGAGGAAGAGAAACUUUGUCAAGACAGAAGGCCUAGAAAGACUCACCAAAGGAGUGUAGCCACAGUAGGCAGGCCACCUGGGGAACAUGGAACCCACAGGGCAUGCUCUUCCAUCAGCAGGUCCCAUCCUCUUCUCUGGAGUCAGUAAAGCCAUGCUUUCCUGCUUCCUAGGGCACUUGUUUUGGGAGAAAUAUACAUCUAAUGGCCAAGAAAGGCCUGAAUGCACAGAUGCGGGGCAGAGAGAGAGGAACACCAUUGGGCUUGCCUGCUUUGUCAAAAGGGAGCUGGCCGUCCAAGCCUCCUGGGCCAAGACUCUUUCAAGGGGAUAACUACUGAGUAAAGAGCCCUUAGUCCUAGAAGGCUUCUGGGAAGUGUUAUUGUCCCUGUCAGAGGAGGAAGGUGCCGGGCAACUGGUGUGCCUGACCAGGGAGGUAGCACCCUCCCUGACCAGGUCCUUGAGGGUCAUGUCCAGGUAGUAUAGACAAGUAAAUAGAUAAUUGCACUACAGUGUGAUUGGUGGAAAGGCAGAGUUAGUACAGGUUAGAUAGGAUCAUGUGGGAGGAGCAACUCUCUCAGAUGACAGCUCUCAGGACAGCAGUGAGAAGGCUCCUGGACUGAAGUGACAUCUAGACGGAGAGCUGCGGUGGGAAGGCUCAGAGGGAGAAUCUGAGAGGAGGUUAAUGUGGCUCCUGGAAUGUAGAUCAGAGGCUGAGGAGUGGAGAGAAUGGGGGACAAUACAGGGGAAUGGCAAGAGGUGAGACGGAAGAGUUAAGCAGGAGCCAAUUCACACAGGGUCUUGUGAACAACAGACCCAAGGUUAUUCUAAGAACAGAGAGAGAUGAGAGCCAUUGAGGACUUUGAGGGGUGGGCUUAAGGGCCAGGUCUGGCAUCAUCAGAUUAGCAUUUUAGACAUAUUUUUCCACAAAUAAAUACAUUAUACAUUAAUUUCCAUGAUUUUUCUUACUUUCCAAUCACAUACACUUCUUACCUAUUUCUAUUGACAAAUAUUUGAGUUAUGAUAAGAAUAAUAUAAC
rnacentral:lncRNA from 1 species